AUUGAACGCUGGCGGCAUGCCUUACAUAUGCAAGUCGAACGGUAACAGGUCUUCGGAUGCUGACGAGUGGCGAACGGGUGAGUAAUACAUCGGAACGUGCCCGAUCGUGGGGGAUAACGAAGCGAAAGCUUUGCUAAUACCGCAUAAGAUCUACGGAUGAAAGCAGGGGACCGCAAGGCCUUGCGCGAACGGAGCGGCCGAUGGCAGAUUAGGUAGUUGGUGGGAUAAAAGCUUACCAAGCCGACGAUCUGUAGCUGGUCUGAGAGGACGACCAGCCACACUGGGACUGAGACACGGCCCAGACUCCUACGGGAGGCAGCAGUGGGGAAUUUUGGACAAUGGGCGAAAGCCUGAUCCAGCCAUGCCGCGUGCAGGAUGAAGGCCUUCGGGUUGUAAACUGCUUUUGUACGGAACGAAAAGACUCUGGUUAAUACCUGGGGUCCAUGACGGUACCGUAAGAAUAAGCACCGGCUAACUACGUG
rnacentral:rRNA from 1 species